UGUUCCUACGGGGGGCAGCAGUGAGGAAUAUUGGUCAAUGGGCGGGAGCCUGAACCAGCCAAGUCGCGUGAGGGAAGACGGUCCUACGGAUUGUAAACCUCUUUUGCCGGGGAGCAACGGGGUCCUUGCGAGGUCCCAAUGAGAGUACCCGGAGAAAAAGCAUCGGCUAACUCCGUGCCAGCAGCCGCGGUAAUACGGAGGAUGCGAGCGUUAUCCGGAUUUAUUGGGUUUAAAGGGUGCGGAGGCGGGCUGUUAAGUAAGAGGUCAAAUGUAGGGGCCC
rnacentral:rRNA from 1 species